GAGGAACUUCCACAACAACCAAAUGCCCAUCUGUGUCCAGUUUCAAGUUGGACUGAGCCAAAAACUUCACAUCAAGAAACUCUUUAGCAGACACACUCUCCUCACCAGCAAAUGAAACCCCAAACCAUUCAAAAACUCUUGUCAACAUCAAACCAUAAGGCAAGCCACCAGAAGACUUACCUUCCACAGAAUCCAUCAUAUUUUUAAGAAUCAAAUCAGGCAAAUCAAAUUUCCUCCCAGCAAGAAUCAUGGAAACAACAACAAUAUCCUGUGAUGACAAAUUUGACCGAGUACCUAGCCUAGGACUCACAUUUUCAAUUGACAAUUUGAACAGUGCUUGUGCUAGUGGAACUAACUGUGUAGUUGAUGGAAAAACACC
rnacentral:lncRNA from 1 species